CAAUUAUGUGAGAUGAGGUGAACCUGUACCAAAAUUCCCAGGCUCACAGGUUUGGAGGACACCUGUUUGGAAGGGCCGUCUGAGAGAUUUGGAAAGAGGGACAGGUGAGGAUGAUCUGGCAGAGGAGGAGAGUUGCAAGCAUGUUCAGAACUCUCAAAGAACGGUCCCUUGCUAGCAGAAGUAUUUUCCUAAUCCUCUCUCCUCCUGACCGCCCUCCCGCACCAUCCCCGCCCUGCAUGUGGGUCUCACUUCCAGAGGCAGCUGCCUCACGUUCAGCUCCUGACACCUUCAGAAACUCUGCUAAUAAAUGCAGAUCGGAAAGCAUUCGGCCCAGGGGGACCAAUUUCUUUUUCCAUCACCUGUGGCUUCUCAACGUGAAAUUAAAAGUCAGCAGCAAGUAAUUGCAGCUGGCGGCAGCUCCCAGGGUUCAGUGGCUGCCAGGGGACCAGGUCUGUGUGCUGCCUGCCCUCUGUCCCUCCCACCUCCCAUCCUGAGAUUGAGCAAACUACGCGAUUCUUGGCUUUUUCACAAAAAUGAGACCCACGGCACUGUCAGCAAGAGGCUAGAGAUCUGAAUCUCACUGGUCUGAAGUCCAGCCUGGGUAUCAGGCUUUUCGACUGCCUGCCAGCCGCGGACCUGCCUCCUGAAGCGCUUGAUCGACGUCACUGUCUGGCACUGGAGGGUCACUUCAGCAAUUGUCACUGCAUCUCUGACUGCCCCGUCAUCUCAGAGCUAUCCUGAGACCAUGUGCAGACUGGCCAUUGUAAGCACUGGGACAGAGCAGGUGGUGGCGGAUUUGCUCUGAAUGUGGCUUGUCCUUCCUGUGAGCUGCUGACCCGACUUGGGGAGGGGGCGCGGACUAAAGCAGCAGAUGCAGGGGGUACUUUCUGACUGCAAGGUGAAGAGGACUCGUAACUGGCAGAGGCUGCAUAGAAGAGGAGCAGUCCCUGAACCUUCAGUGUUACCUGGAGACUUAUGGAGAACACUCAGGGGCCCACCCCAGACACUCUGGAACAGACUCACUGCAGGUGGGCUGGACAAGCAGUGUUUAAACAACACCCUCCAGGGGAUUCUAAGAAUCUUGGAACACAGAGACCCUGGAACAAUAAAAGGUGAAAAAAUGGAGAUUCAGAGUUUGCUGUGCGUUUCUUCAACUGUGAGGACCCUUGGGUGAUUCUUCACGUGUUAGUAGCC
ensembl:lncRNA